AGAGUUUGAUCCUGGCUCAGGAUGAACGCUAGCUACAGGCUUAACACAUGCAAGUCGAGGGGAAACGGCAUUGAGUGCUUGCACUCUUUGGACGUCGACCGGCGCACGGGUGAGUAACGCGUAUCCAACCUUCCCAUUACUGUGGGAUAACCUGCCGAAAGGCAGACUAAUACCGCAUAGUCUUCGAUGACGGCAUCAGAUUUGAAGUAAAGAUUUAUCGGUAAUGGAUGGGGAUGCGUCUGAUUAGCUUGUUGGCGGGGUAACGGCCCACCAAGGCGACGAUCAGUAGGGGUUCUGAGAGGAAGGUCCCCCACAUUGGAACUGAGACACGGUCCAAACUCCUACGGGAGGCAGCAGUGAGGAAUAUUGGUCAAUGGACGGAAGUCUGAACCAGCCAAGUAGCGUGCAGGAUGACGGCCCUAUGGGUUGUAAACUGCUUUUAUGCGGGGAUAAAGUGAGGGACGUGUCCUUCAUUGCAGGUACCGCAUGAAUAAGGACCGGCUAAUUCCGUGCCAGCAGCCGCGGUAAUACGGAAGGUCCAGGCGUUAUCCGGAUUUAUUGGGUUUAAAGGGAGCGUAGGCCGUGGAUUAAGCGUGUUGUGAAAUGUAGACGCUCAACGUCUGAAUUGCAGCGCGAACUGGUUCACUUGAGUAUGCGCAACGUAGGCGGAAUUCGUCGUGUAGCGGUGAAAUGCUUAGAUAUGACGAAGAACUCCGAUUGCGAAGGCAGCUGACGGGAGCGCAACUGACGCUUAAGCUCGAAGGUGCGGGUAUCAAACAGGAUUAGAUACCCUGGUAGUCCGCACAGUAAACGCUGGAUGCCCGCUGUUGGUUCAUUAGAGUCAGCGGCCAAGCGAAAGCAUUAAGCAUCCCACCUGGGGAGUACGCCGGCAACGGUG
rnacentral:rRNA from 1 species